AUUGAACGCUGGCGGAAUGCUUUACACAUGCAAGUCGAACGGCAGCACGGGGGCAACCCUGGUGGCGAGUGGCGAACGGGUGAGUAAUACAUCGGAACGUGCCCGGUCGUGGGGGAUAACGUAGCGAAAGUUACGCUAAUACCGCAUACGAUCUGAGGAUGAAAGCGGGGGACCUUCGGGCCUCGCGCGAUCGGAGCGGCCGAUGUCAGAUUAGGUAGUUGGUGGGGUAAAGGCCUACCAAGCCGACGAUCUGUAGCUGGUCUGAGAGGACGACCAGCCACACUGGGACUGAGACACGGCCCAGACUCCUACGGGAGGCAGCAGUGGGGAAUUUUGGACAAUGGGCGCAAGCCUGAUCCAGCCAUUCCGCGUGCAGGACGAAGGCCUUCGGGUUGUAAACUGCUUUUGUAUGGAACGAAAAGGCUCUGGCUAAUACCUGGGGCUCAUGACGGUACCGGAAGAAUAAGCACCGGCUAGCUACGUG
rnacentral:rRNA from 1 species